rnacentral:rRNA from 1 species
UGCCGUAGACCCGAAGCCGAGUGAGCUAUCCAUGGGCAGUGUGAAGCGGAGGUAAGACUCUGUGGAGGCGCGAACCGACUUCAGUUGAAAAUGGAGCGGAUGACCUGUGGAUAGGGGUGAAAGGCCAAUCAAACUCGGUGAUAGCUGGUUCUCCGCGAAAUGCAUUUAGGUGCAGCGUCGUGCGUUCAACGAUGGGGGUAGAGCACUGAAUGGGCUAGGGGUCCUACAAGACUACCGACCCCAAUCAAACUCCGAAUACCAUCGUUCCAGAGCACGGCAGUGAGACCUCGGGGGAUGAGCUUCGAGGUCGAGAGGGAAACAGCCCAGACCGCCGGCUAAGGUCCCAAAAUCUGAACUAAGUGGUAAACGAUGUGAGAUUGCGAAGACAGCCAGGAGGUUGGCUUGGAAGCAGCCAUCCUUGAAAGAGUGCGUAACAGCUCACUGGUCGAGUGAUCUUGCGCGGACAAUGUAACGGGGCUCAAGUUCAGUACCGAAGCCGCGGAUGCGACUCUUUGAGUCGUGUGGUAGCGGAGCGUCGAGCGUGCAGCGAAGCGGCGGGACAGCCCAGCCGUGGAGCGCGUUCGAGUGCGAAUGUUGGCAUGAGUAGCGAAUGAGGGGUGAGAACCCCCUCCGCCGUAUGUCCAAGGGUUCCUGGGCGAGGCCAAUCCUCCCAGGGUGAGUCGGGAGCUAAGGCGAGGCCGAGAGGCGUAGUCAUGCACAACUGGUUGAUAUUCCAGUACCACCAUGUUCGCGUCCGUCCCAAUACUCUGUUGCUAAGGGGCUGUGUUGACUUCGGUCAACGCGAACCGACCCACAUUGUUGCGGGAAGCUGUAGGGGGACGCAGGAAGGUAGAUGAACCCGGUGAAUGGUAGAACCGGGGUAAGCGUGUAGGAGGAGGACCAGGUAAAUCCGGGCCUCAUAAACUCUGAGACGUGAUACCGAGCCGCUUCAGGCGAAGUCAUUGAUCCUAUGCUGCCUAGAAAAGCCCAGCAGCGAGUUGACAUGGUGCCCGUACCCCAAACCAACACAGGUGGACAGGUAGAGCAUACCAAGGCGAGUGGGAUAACUAUGGUUAAGGAACUCGGCAAAUUGCCUCCGUAACUUCGGGAGAAGGAGGACCCCAGUAGCGUGAUGAGACUUGCUCUCUGAGCGUGAAGGGGUGGCACAAAAUUGAGGGAAGCGACUGUUUACCAAAAACACAGCAGCGUGCUAAGCCGUAAGGCGCUGUAUACGCUGUGACUCCUGCCCGGUGCUGGAAGGUUACGGGGAUGGGUUAGUCCUUCGGGACGAAGCUCUGAACCUAAGCCCCAGUAAACGGCGGCCGUAACUAUAACGGUCCUAAGGUAGCGAAAUUCCUUGUCGGGUAAGUUCCGACCUGCACGAAUGGAGUAACGACUUCCCUACUGUCUCAACCAUAGACCCAGCGAAAUUGAAGUACGAGUAAAGAUGCUCGUUAGCUGCAGAAGGACGGAAAUACCCCGUGGACCUUUACUAUAACUUGAUGUUGUGUUUUGCC